UACUUGUUAGGCGGCGCUGCGGCGUGACGUCAUGAGCAGAGACGCAGAAGCAGCAGCAGAAGAAGAAAAAGCGCGAGGAGCGCGUUAGCAGAGACAGCGCUAAUAUUGAUGAAAAAACACAAGGUGCGCGGAAAAAGCAGAGCGAUCGCGGCACGUCGUGGAAGAUAUCGCGCCUCUGCAGCGGCGUUAGGAGCCGAGGCUGAAAACAAAGGCGGAAUCAUGGCAAACGACGAGACGCUGCGCUCGCUAAUGUUUACGCUCAGUUACGUGCUGAUGAAGCGACGGCGUGACGUCACCAGCGCAGACGCGCAGCGCAGACGCGAGGUUCAGCGGCGCGUCGCGCACAGACAGUAUUUCCAGCAGAGACACAAGAGGAUGAUCAUGAUGAUGAUGGCUCAGGCGUCUCGUCCGAUCGGAGCUCCUCCGGCUCGACCCACGCGGGUCUGGAGCAGCAUCGAGAGCACCGAUUGGUGGGAGCGGGUGGUGAUGAGGGAGUUCCAGCCCUCUGAUUGGCUGGAGAAGUUCCGUAUGACCAAAGAGACGUUCUUCCUGUUGUGUGGGAAGCUGAAGCCGCGGCUGAGCCGGCAGGACACCCGUCUGCGUCCGGCGCUGCCGCUGGAGAAGCGUGUGGCCGUGGCUCUGUGGCGGCUGGCCUCUAAUGUGGAGUACCGCACCAUCAGCGCUCUGUUCGGCGUGGGCCGCUCCACGGUCUGUAAGUGUGUGCGAGACGUGUGUCACGCCAUCGUUCUGCUGCUCCGGCCUCUGUACCUGCGCUCCCCGAGCGAGCAGGAGCUGGAGGACUCUGCCCGGCUCUUCGCCUCUCGCUGGGGCUUCCCUCACUGCGUGGGAGCUCUGGCCAGCCUCCACGUGCCCAUCAUCGCGCCGUCCAGCAACACGCACAGCUACUGGAACAGCCGGGGCUGGCUGUCGGUGGUCACUCAGGGAGCGGUCAACGGGCUGGGUCAGUUCUGGGACGUGUGCGCCGGGUUCCCGGGCAGCACCGAGCACGCCGAGCUGCUGCAGAACUCCACGCUCUGGGCUCGAGGCUGCGAGGGCUUCCUUCGGCACGAGCCCGAGCGCCGCUUCAUGGGCCGCCCGCUGGGCUUCCUGAUGCUGGGCGACGCCGGCUACCCGCUGAAGAGCUGGCUGCUGAAGAGCUUCCCGGAGUCCGGCGCGCUGACCGAGGCCCAGAGAGCCUUCAACCGGCGUCUGGAGCGCGCUCGAGGGGUGGUGGACGAGGCCUUCCUCCGGCUCCGGGCGCGCUGGCAGUGUCUGCUGAAGAGGAACGACUGCCGCAUGGAUGUGGUGCCCACCAUGAUCCUGGCCUGCUGCGUGCUGCACAACGUCUGCGAGGUGCACGGGGACGAGUUCGACGAGCGCUGGGAGGAAGCCGUCCGGCACGAGGAGAGCCCGCAGCCCGCUGACGAGGUGUCGCCCGCCGCCGAUGACCGCCACGGAGAGGAAGUCCGAGCGCUCUUCUAGACUGCUCCUCAUCGGUCAGCAUGCUGCAUCCGCUCAUGAUCUGCAUGGUCAUCGUCAACACCUCCAUGUCCAUCAUCUUCUGGACGCUCUUGAUGUCCGAAGUCUUCUUCAAAGAGGCAGAGACGGAGGAGGCCAGGGCUGCGGCGGCCGUGUCUCCGGCGUAAACUCGUUAGUAUGUAGAUCUCGUUACUCUGUCGCUGCUUCGUAGAGCUUCUCUGAUCAGACGCACAGAGAGAUUUCCUUCAUUAGAAGCUUUAUUCUGCAACAAACUCAUCGUUUGGGAGCUAUGGAGCGCUUUCUUAUUUACAGGUAAGAGAAAAACAAUGUUUCAAUGCAUUACAAUUUGUCUUCUUUUGCUUAUCAAUAUUGUACGAAUAGAUUAAGAUCUUUAGAUUAAAUAUUGCUUUAAGAAAUUAUUUAUCUGGUAUUGUGUCAUUUCAUUUGACAGAGUUUCUGUUGAACUUGAGAAAUCAGAGCCAUACAGUUUAUGAAUAAUCAGAUUAAGUCAAUAAAUAUGGCUUCUCGAGAGUCGUCUUAAACACGUGCUGAUUCACACGUCAUUAACCGUUAAGCACCACAUUAUAACAAGAGGAAGACAUUCAGAACUCAUGUAUCUCUCCGUUAUAUUCAGACUGUUUCAGGUGUAUUUAAGUAUUUUCUCAAAUACAUUAAGUAUUUUUUUUUAUCAUUUCUUGGCAUCACACUAACGCUGCUGUUCCUAAGAGCUGCUGGUCAGUUUUCCUCACACACCUGAUUCAGCUCAUUACAGACACUGAUCUGCUGGAGGUCCAGGAGGGGUUCGGAAACAGUGCAUUAUGGGAUGUGUUGCAGAAUGCUCAUUACAUAAACUGUUGGAUUAGUUUUGGAGAUGCAUAUGACAGCGUUUUGGAAUGCGAUCAGUGGAUUACAGCAGAAGAGCGUACUGCACAGAUUCAGUCCAUCUCUGUGUGUUAGAGACUCCUGUCCAAAGCCAGCAUGCUGCACCCGCUCAUGUUCAUGAUCGUCGUCUUUAACACCGGCAUGACCAUCGUGGAGUGGACCUUUCUCAUGCACGAGACCAUGAGGUUAAACUCGGAGAAUCCAGAUGAAGUUUAUCCGUCCGAGUAGAAGCAGUGGAGCGGCUCGUUAGCAUGAGGAGUUUAGUCUUAGAUCAUUUGCACCAUGAAAUGAAGUUUCGAGGUAAGACUUCCAGGUCUCAGAUCCAUUGGUACAUUACAGUAGAAUCUGUCAGUGAAGGGUUUCUGUGAUCGUGUGGUCGACUUAUUCUGGAUUGGAUGGGAAUCUCUGGUAAUCUUGGGAAUGUUCUGUCUGCUGGUAAUUCAGGAUUUGAUUAAAACAGACUUAAUCUUCUCAUUCUCUGCGGCUCAAUCAUUCCCCUGUAAUCCAGGCAGAUAUGGUUUGUUAUUAGAAAACGUUCAAAUCUUCUUUACCUUCAGUAUGUCGUGGGCUUUUAAAUUAAGAACUCUGCCCUAUAUGUUUCUUUCUCGUGAACGGUGAGAUGAGUUGGGUCAGGAGACAUGGACUUGUCAGGAGAGUGGCUCUCGAGGGGCCGGGUUCCUCAGCGUUUGCUUCGGUCUCACAGGUCAGACUCGUCUCCGUUCCUGGAGUACAGGCCCCCGGCGCGAGACUCUGUCUCUGUUCCUCCACAUGUUCUGUACGUCUCUGUGGGUCUGCUGCUGGUCAUUCUGGCCACGUAUGCCAUCGUGGGUCACCUGAUCGAUGACCUGCUCCAUGACCUGGCAGGUACCGUCAGCGGCCGGUGUUCCCCGGUGUUCUCUGAUGUUCCCCGGUGUUCUCCAGUGUUCUCCCAGUGUUUAACAGACUGGGUCUUUGGUCCCAAACCCGAAGCCGGUGAAGCUGAGAGCGGGCGUGAAGAAGAGCGUGUCGGUCUGGAGGAAGAGCGAGCCGGUCUGCUGCCGGGAUUCACAGAGACCCAUCAUCUCACAGGAUCCGG